GAUGCCGGAUAGGUAGUAGUUGGAACAUUGGGGUUUGCUUCCUCGCACAACCUCGCCGUAGGGACCAAGGGGACAUUCUUGAUCAGAAUAGCACCUCCUCCCUUGUUAGAUAGUCCCCUAGAUGCUUUGAUUUGAGAUAACUCAGCCUUGCUGAUUAGAAUCCUGGUAGCUUUUGAAAGCAGAGGGAAUGCACGAUCCUUACCGACAUGAAGGGGGAGGCGUCUUGCUGUUAGCGAUGAGCCACAAACAGCCAUGAGAGAGGGCAUAGAAGCAGCAAUGGACGGCAGGCAAAUCACGCAGAUUGGAAGAUACGGCGCUUGACGUAAGGGGCAAAGCAAAGGCUCUCAUUUGAUUAAUGUCCACCGAUCGAGUGGUAGGUGCCAAAUGGUCGUCCGCCGUCUCCAAGUACAACUAAUUUCCAUUCAAGAAGAACAGCGAAAUGUAGUUUUAGGUGAGACUGCGUGACUGUGUAUCUUCGUCUACGAUGCCUAAACCUUGCAGUGUUGUUCGUUCUUUGUUGCAUGUUCACGUUUCUUGAUGAUGAUCAGCCUGCAAACAAUUUGUUAGGUCAAACUGGAGGUUUAUGUGGGUUAAUCUUCUUUCUAAUCAGCUGGCAUAAACUGAUAAGUUGGUAGA